UACGAAGGGGGCUAGCGUUGUUCGGAUUUACUGGGCGUAAAGCGCACGUAGGCGGAUCGUUAAGUCGGGGGUGAAAUCCUGGAGCUCAACUCCAGAACUGCCUUCGAUACUGGCGAUCUUGAGUCCGGAAGAGGUGAGUGGAACUCCUAGUGUAGAGGUGGAAUUCGUAGAUAUUAGGAAGAACACCGGUGGCGAAGGCGGCCAUCUGGACCGCAACUGACGCUGAGGCGCGAAAGCGUGGGGAGCAAACAGG
rnacentral:rRNA from 1 species